rnacentral:rRNA from 1 species
CCUACGGGUGGCAGCAGUGGGGAAUAUUGGACAAUGGGGGGAACCCUGAUCCAGCGACGCCGCGUGAGUGAAGAAGUAUUUCGGUUUGUAAAGCUCUAUCAGCAGGGAAGAAAGAAAUGACGGUACCUGACUAAGAAGCCCCGGCUAACUACGUGCCAGCAGCCGCGGUAAUACGUAGGGGGCAAGCGUUAUCCGGAUUUACUGGGAGUAAAGGGAGCGUAGACGGCGAUGCAAGUCUGAAGUGAAAGGCGGGGGCCCAACCCCCGGACUGCUUUGGAAACUGUAUGGCUGGAGUGGAGGAGAGGUAAGUGGAAUUCCUGGUGUAGCGGUGAAAUGCGUAGAGAUUAGGAGGAACACCAGUGGCGAAGGCGACUUACUGGACUGUAACUGACGUUGAGGCUCGAAAGCGUGGGGAGCAAACAGGAUUAGAUACCCCGGUAGUC